rnacentral:rRNA from 1 species
UACGGAGGAUGCGAGCGUUAUCCGGAUUCAUUGGGUUUAAAGGGUGCGUAGGCGGACUAUUAAGUCAGUGGUGAAAGCCUGCAGCUUAACUGCAGAACUGCCAUUGAUACUGAUAGUCUUGAGUUUGGUUAAGGUAGGCGGAAUGUGUAAUGUAGCGGUGAAAUGCUUAGAUAUUACACAGAACACCAAUUGCGUAGGCAGCUUACUGAGCCGACACUGACGCUGAGGCACGAAAGCGUGGGGAUCAAACA